GCUGGCGACAAUAGCAAGAGUGAACCACCUGAUCCCUUCCCGAACUCAGAAGUGAAACCUCUUAGCGCUGAUGGUAGUGUGGGGUCUCCCAUGUGAGAGUAAGUCAUCGCCAGCU
rnacentral:rRNA from 1 species